AGAGUUUGAUCCUGGCUCAGAGCGAACGCUGGCGGCAGGCCUAACACAUGCAAGUCGAACGGAUCCUUCGGGAUUAGUGGCGGACGGGUGAGUAACACGUGGGAACGUGCCCUUUGGUUCGGAACAACUCAGGGAAACUUGAGCUAAUACCGGAUGUGCCCUUCGGGGGAAAGAUUUAUCGCCAUUGGAGCGGCCCGCGUCUGAUUAGCUAGUUGGUGAGGUAAAGGCUCACCAAGGCGACGAUCAGUAGCUGGUCUGAGAGGAUGAUCAGCCACAUUGGGACUGAGACACGGCCCAAACUCCUACGGGAGGCAGCAGUGGGGAAUCUUGCGCAAUGGGCGAAAGCCUGACGCAGCCAUGCCGCGUGAAUGAUGAAGGUCUUAGGAUUGUAAAAUUCUUUCACCGGGGACGAUAAUGACGGUACCCGGAGAAGAAGCCCCGGCUAACUUCGUGCCAGCAGCCGCGGUAAUACGAAGGGGGCUAGCGUUGCUCGGAAUUACUGGGCGUAAAGGGAGCGCAGGCGGUUUUGUAAGACAGACGUGAAAUCCCCGGGCUUAACCUGGGAACUGCGUUUGUGACUGCGAGACUAGAGUGUAGCAGAGGGGGGUAGAAUUCCACGUGUAGCAGUGAAAUGCGUAGAUAUGUGGAGGAAUACCGAUGGCGAAGGCAGCCCCCUGGGCUAACACUGACGCUCAUGCACGAAAGCGUGGGGAGCAAACAGGAUUAGAUACCCUGGUAGUCC
rnacentral:rRNA from 1 species